rnacentral:tRNA from 1 species
CACGGCGUAGCUCAGCAGGACAGAGCAUCCUUGCUUUCUUCAUGCAACCCGGACCUCGACCAUCCGGUUGUAUGGGCAGGAAGGUCGCAGGUUCGAGUCCUGCCGCCGUUU